rnacentral:tRNA from 1 species
GCGGAACGCGGAUUGGCCUCCGAAGCCAAGGGUCGUGGGUUCGAUCCCCGCCAGCCGCGCCA